CCAUUGGUGUCGAAGUUCAUCCUUUGGAUUUCACCACUAACUGCGGUAAGAUCCGUUUCUACUGCUGGGACACGGCUGGGCAAGAGAAGUUUGGUGGCCUCAGGGAUGGAUACUAGUAAGUCUUAUCUGCCAUAGUCUUUUAAGUAAAUGUGAUUUAGUCCCUGCUAAAUUUCAUAUGAAAUUAUAAAUGAUGCCCUACUUUCAGUGACAUGAAUAAUCAAGCUAUCAUACCCUGUAAAUUUAAUCCUUACCUUCAACACAGAACCUGUUCUUUCAUUGCAUUAAGUUACUGCUUCUAAUUUUCUAUUUCCCUGCAGUAUCCAUGGCCAGUGUGCGAUUAUAAUGUUUGAUGUAACCUCAAGGUUGACUUACAAGAAUGUUCCUACAUGGCAUAGGGACCUGUGCAGGUUUGUUUCAAUCUUUCUGUGUCAUACAACUUGCACUUUGAUGUAUAAUGUUGGGGGAUUCUGAUGUUCAAUUAUGAAUUCUUGCAGGGUGUGUGAAAACAUCCCCAUUGUCCUGUGCGGUAACAAGGUUGAUGUGAAGAACAGGCAGGUCAAGGCCAAGCAGGUCACCUUCCACAGGAAGAAGAACCUGCAGUACUAUGAGAUUUCUGCCAAGAGCAACUAUAACUUUGAGAAGCCUUUCCUUUACCUUGCAAGGAAGUUGGCUGGGUAACUAACUAAUUACUUUAAUUUUUCGCAUCUUGAGGUUACAGCAAAUACCUACAUAUAUUAAUUAUUGUCGAUGGCUUUGGUCCUAUCAGCGAUCCCAACCUCCACUUUGUUGAAGCCGUUGCUCUUAAGCCUCCGGAAGUUACCAUUGAUAUGGCUAUGCAGCAACAGUGAGUGUCCACCUUUGUUCUUAUCUACUGUCAUUUUUAUGCACAUCCAAAAUCAGUCACCUUGAUAUUAAGUGUUUCAAGAACUGAUUCUCUUCUCAUUUUGAUUGCAGGCAUGAAGCUGAGCUUGCUGCAGCGGCCGCACAACCUCUUCCUGAUGACGAUGACGAUCUGAUUGAGUAGAAAGUGGAUCAUGAGUCUCAGACCUGAGCAGACGGAGUUGUGCCCUUGCAUAAGAGUUGUUUUAGAACGAACUCUCUAGAGUUAGCGUUGUCUAAAUCUGGAUCUUUUCUGUCUCGAGACGUGUUGCAACUUUUCAAUGUGUUGACAUCGCUGGACUUGUUGCCAUGAAUUUGCUGGCUCCUUUAUACAUUGCUUUGUUA
rnacentral:lncRNA from 1 species